UGUAAGACACUCUAUACGGAGUUACAAAGGACGACAUUAGACGAAUCAUCUGGAAAGAUGAAUCAAAGAAGGUAAUAAUCCUGUAGUCGAAAAUGUUGUCUCUCUUGAGUGGAUCCUGAGUACGACGGAGCACGUGAAAUUCCGUCGGAAUCUGGGAGGACCAUCUCCUAAGGCUAAAUACUCUCUAGUGACCGAUAGUGAACCAGUACCGUGAGGGAAAGGUGAAAAGCACCCCGAAAGGGGAGUGAAAUUGAACCUGAAACCGUGUGCUUACAAGAAGUCAGAGCCCGUUACUGGGUGUUUGCGUGCCUUUUGUAGAAUAAACCGGCGAGUUCCGUUUUGAUGCAAGGUUCAGCAGUCCAUGGUGUGCCGUUUCGAAAGCGAGCUUGAAUCGUGCGUUUAGUAUUUGGUCGUAGACCCGAAACCGUGUGAUCUACCCUUGGUCUGGUUGGAGUUCUGGUAAC
rnacentral:rRNA from 1 species